UAAGAGUUUGAUCCUGGCUCAGGACGAACGCGGGCGGCGUGCCUAAUACAUGCAAGUCGAGCGGAGUUUUGAAAAGCUUGCUUUUCAAAACUUAGCGGCGGACGGGUGAGUAACACGUGGGCAACCUGCCCUUGAGACGGGGAUAACUCCGGGAAACCGGAGCUAAUACCGGAUAACACAUAUCUUCGCAUGAGGAUAUGUUAGAAGGUGGCUUUUAGCUACCACUCAAGGAUGGGCCCGCGGCGCAUUAGCUAGUUGGUGAGGUAACGGCUCACCAAGGCGACGAUGCGUAGCCGACCUGAGAGGGUGAUCGGCCACACUGAACAGAACCGCCCCCC
rnacentral:rRNA from 2 species